rnacentral:rRNA from 1 species
AUUGAACGCUGGCGGCAGGCCCAACACAUGCAAGUCGAGCGGCAGCGGGAAAGUAGCUUGCUACUUUUGCCGGCGAGCGGCGGACGGGUGAGUAAUGCCUGGGAAAUUGCCCAGUCGAGGGGGAUAACAGUUGGAAACGACUGCUAAUACCGCAUACGCCCUACGGGGGAAAGCAGGGGACCUUCAGGCCUUGCGCGAUUGGAUAUGCCCAGGUGGGAUUAGCUAGUUGGUGAGGUAAUGGCUCACCAAGGCGACGAUCCCUAGCUGGUCUGAGAGGAUGAUCAGCCACACUGGAACUGAGACACGGUCCAGACUCCUACGGGAGGCAGCAGUGGGGAAUAUUGCACAAUGGGGGAAACCCUGAUGCAGCCAUGCCGCGUGUGUGAAGAAGGCCUUCGGGUUGUAAAGCACUUUCAGCGAGGAGGAAAGGUUGAUGCCUAAUACGUAUCAACUGUGACGUUACUCGCAGAAGAAGCACCGGCUAACUCCGUGCCAGCCGCCGCGGUAA